CAGUCGCCACGGUAAUACGAAGGGGGCUAGCGUUGCUCGGAAUUACUGGGCGUAAAGGGCGCGUAGGCGGACAGUUCAGUCGGGGGUGAAAGCCCGGGGCUCAACCUCGGAAUUGCCUUCGAUACUGGCUGUCUUGAGUAUGAGAGAGGUGUGUGGAACUCCGAGUGUAGAGGUGAAAUUCGUAGAUAUUCGGAAGAACACCAGUGGCGAAGGCGACACACUGGCUCAUUACUGACGCUGAGGCGCGAAAGCGUGGGGAGCAAACAGGAUUAGAUACCCCCGUAGUCCCUGUCUCUUAUAC
rnacentral:rRNA from 1 species